rnacentral:Y_RNA from 1 species
GGCUGGUCUGACUGCAGUGGUGUUUACAACUAAUUGAUCACAACCAGUUACAGAUUUCUUUGUUCCUUCUCCAUUCCCGCAGUUUCACUUGACUAGCCUAAA